GAUGAACGCUGGCGGCGUGCCUAAUACAUGCAAGUCGAGCGAACAGACGAGGAGCUUGCUCCUCUGACGUUAGCGGCGGACGGGUGAGUAACACGUGGAUAACCUACCUAUAAGACUGGGAUAACCUCGGGAAACCGGAGCUAAUACCGGAUAAUAUAUUGAACCGCAUGGUUCAAUAGUGAAAGACGGUUUUGCUGUCACUUAUAGAUGGAUCCGCGCCGCAUUAGCUAGUUGGUAAGGUAACGGCUUACCAAGGCGACGAUGCGUAGCCGACCUGAGAGGGUGAUCGGCCACACUGGAACUGAGACACGGUCCAGACUCCUACGGGAGGCCGCAGUAGGGAAUCUUCCGCAAUGGGCGAAAGCCUGACGGAGCAACGCCGCGUGAGUGAUGAAGGUCUUCGGAUCGUAAAACUCUGUUAUUAGGGAAGAACAAAUGUGUAAGUAACUAUGCACGUCUUGACGGUACCUAAUCAGAAAGCCACGGCUAACUACGUG
rnacentral:rRNA from 1 species